AGCCGUGCCCUGGGGCAGCCGCGUGCAGCAGGGGCUGGACUGAGCCCUGCUGGGCCAGCAGGCCGUGUGGCCACAGUCCCAGCAGUGCCGCUUGCAGGGAGCUGUGCCGCUGGGGCUGUGACAGGCUCUGUGUUCCCAGGGAUGGCUGGGCGGAGCUUGACGGGGAAGUAUCAAGAGCUCAAGCUUAUCUAUAGUGCCUUGGAAGUAAUGGCAAAUGACAUCAGCCCCUCUGUCAGCAGCCUGUCAAUUCAAACUUGGCAUAUCCUCAGGGCAUUAGACAGACCUCGAUAUUCCACCUUCAGGAAUCUGCAUGGUGAGCUCCAUGGGCCAUGGAGGACAAGGCUUCAUCUGCUGGGGCUCAGCUGCCUGCGCUGCUGGAGCUCUGCACAGAGAUGAGCCCAGAGGCUCUGUCUGCUGGGGCCACCUGAGCCAGCAGAGAUUUUCAGUUUGUUCAAGACUGUUCUUUUCUUCUUUUUGUUUUUCUUUAGUAUAUAAAUAUAGGAUGUGUUAUAAUAGACAGA